ACAUUUAAAUAAAGUUGCAAGAAGAAGAAGAAACAGAAGAAGAAGAAGAAGAAGAAGAAAAAAGAUGGAGGAGGAGGAGGAUAGGAAGAAAAAGAAAAACAUGAGGAAGAGUCGUGUAAGGAUCGUAGACGACAAGAAAGAUCAGCUAUUUCUUGCCGACCUGUUUUUAGAAGAAUAUAAGCAAAGAAAAGAGUCAGCUUCAAGCCACCAAAAAGGUGUUUGGCUUGAAGAAGAUGAAGACGGCCAACCUCUCCCAAAAAGACGUAGGACUGGGGAGAAACGGAAACGGGGACCCGCCACUGUGACGUCUGGGAGCGCAGAACCUUCCUGUUCGUCGACAUAUGGACAAAAGGCAGAGACAGAGACCAGCCAAAACUUAGACUCCCUUAUCCAAGAAGUUCAAGACCUCUUGGAAUGUCCUGUUGAAGAACCUGUCU